UACGUAGGGUGCAAGCGUUGUCCGGAAUUAUUGGGCGUAAAGAGCUCGUAGGCGGUCUGUCGCGUCUGCUGUGAAAACUCAGGGCUUAACCCUGAGCUUGCAGAGGGUACGGGCAGACUGGAGGUAUGCAGGGGAGAACGGAAUUCCUGGUGUAGCGGUGAAAUGCGCAGAUAUCAGGAGGAACACCGAUGGCGAAGGCAGGUCUCUGGGCAUUAACUGACGCUGAGGAGCGAAAGCAUGGGGAGCGAACAGG
rnacentral:rRNA from 1 species